rnacentral:rRNA from 1 species
GAUGAACGCUGGCGGUAUGCCUAACACAUGCAAGUCGUACGAGAGUUUUUAACUCUAGUGGCGGACGGGUGAGUAACACGUGAGAAUUUGCCUUUUAGGAGGGGGACAACAAUUGGAAACGAAUGCUAAUACCCCAUAUGCUUUCGAGUGAAAUGGAUUUUAUCCGCCUAGAGAGAAGCUCGCGGCUGAUUAGCUUGUUGGUAAGGUAAGAGCUUACCAAGGCGACGAUCAGUAUCUGGUUUGAGAGGACGAUCAGACACACUGGAACUGAGACACGGUCCAGACUCCUACGGGAGGCAGCAGUGGGGAAUUUUCCGCAAUGGGCGAAAGCCUGACGGAGCAAUACCGCGUGAGGGAAGAAUGCCUAUGGGUUGUAAACCUCUUUUUCAGGGAGGAAUAAAAUGACGUGUACCUGAAGAAUAAGCAUCGGCUAACUCCGUG